ACCGGCUUAGGGCACCCCCCCGAGAGGUCUCUGGCCCUUUGCCCGAAGGAACGGGAAGAUAACACGGGAGCCCCAGGCUGGGCCAGGCCACCUCUCCCAUCCCACCCGGUUUCCAGGUAAGCGUGCCCAUGGAUGAGUCAGCCCAACUGGGAAUGAAGAGGAAGCAGGCAAGGCCUCCUGCCCAGACACCACCCAGGACACACCCCAGGGACCAGUCUCAGGCUGCCACGGGGCUUGGCACACCCGGCUCCGACCCAGAGCCCCGAGAACCCCUGCCUCUGAGGCAGCAGGAGGACCUGGAGCCCAGCACAGCAGAGCACAGAGCCACGUGGGCCACACUGCAGGCAAAGGAGCUCAGAAGCUGAGUUUCAAGGGAAGAGGAGCUCCGGGACCACAGCAGGAACCGGCGCUCUCAACCCCUGGGCUCAGCAGCAACCUCACCUUCAGGCCGUCGGCUCUGCCCUAAGGGAAGCAGGAAGGUCACCAACCGCCCCAAGCCGACCUCACGCCCCUCCCACUGCUGCAGCAUGACAUCACCCGCCCCGCCCCUUCCGGCGGAACGAGAGCGCCUCUUCCCCUUGAUUCCAGCGUAAAGCUCAGCCCUGGGCCCUGAUUGGGCACUGCCCUAGUCCUGAGCCAAUCACAGUGGCCAGGAAGGACAGAACACACGGAUUGGCCAGGUCCAGGUCAUGUGACUCUUUAGGACACGUGAGAGCUGCUCACCCUGUGUCAGGGGUGGAGACAGUGUGAUGCCCCAAGAACAGGGCUGAGAGUCCAGUUGCUGUGUUCUGGGCUGUGCCUGCGAAUCCUCUCUACACACCACUUUGUCCUCUGCCGACAAAAUGUUCAUAAAACACAUCUUCCCUUCCCAAGCCCUAUUUCAUGCACCCUCAUUCAAGGGAG
rnacentral:lncRNA from 1 species